CAGGCAGGGGUGCCCAAGGGCACAGCAGCUGCAGGCCAUUGGCAAGGCCAGAAGAUGAAUCAACGGAGGUAGAAGCAAGCAGAGCCACGCUAAUAUUGAAUCUGGGAAGCCCGGACAGCUGGGAGUUAAUUUACAAUUAAUGUUUUACCUUGCUAAAUACAAGAAGGUGAAUCACGCACUCACCAAGGAUUGUUCCUAGGAGUUCAAGCUCAUAUGACUGAACCGAAUUCAAUCCUUAUCUGAAUAUUACUUAGGAUCCUAGCUAAGCAGCCAAAUCAAAUGCCCAGAUAAAGGUGGUUUAAAAGACAGAUGUUUAUUCCUUUUUCCCACAGUAUUUCAAUCCUAAGUAGUCCAGGUAGGACAUGGUAACACUAUUCAGCUCUCACUAUCACAAACACAUACUAACAAACACAUACUAACUGCCAAGAAGAUGAGAAAAAGACAAGGGAAGAUACAGCCAUCCUCCUUCAAGUCAUAAACUGAACAUUGAAUUUGUUCUAUCUAUUCAGAUACCACUGACCUGAACUUAUGUGGCCACACCUAUCUGCCAAUGAGAUUGGGAAAUGUCUUUAACUGGGUGGUCAUGCUAAACCCACCACAUUCUAGCUAAAAUUUAGGGGUUCUGUUACUAAAGGUGGAAAAAUUGAAGAAGAAUGUGUAGGUAUGGACAAUUAGCAGUAUCUUAUAUAGUCCACACUUCUUGUAUAUAUUUGCAGUUUUUUUCAUAGGUAGAACCACUCACUCCUCCCUAAAAGAGUCAAAAUUCUAUGUAGUUGUGACCUUCAGCUCAACACCCAAGGUCUUUGGCUUGUAUGAAGUACUUUUCUUUAGUUCUCCGUGUGUUCCUUCAUUAUCUUGCAACCCAUAAACUAAAAUGUAAGUGUUUUUGCUUCUCUCUCAACCCUCAUCACACUCCAUAUACAAUGGUGGAGAGAAGAGUGUGUGCACAGAAUAUCUGCAAUAAAAACUGCUUUUUGGAGAAGGUAGGAAUGGGAAAUACACAGUUGUUACGCUUCUUAACAACUUAUUAAAUCUUGCUGUGAAAAUAUUGUGAACAUUUGUAGUCUUGUCCAUGAAUUAAGUUGCUGGAUUAAUGUAUCUAGUAAUGGUUAGUUUGCUUUUGGGUUUGUUUUCUUUUAUGGUCGAGGACUUUUCCUCUUGGAGUUUCUCCCUUGUAUUUUAUCCUCCAUGGCCACUUCUGAAAUGGGCACUGAAAAGAAUUACCUUUUUGAGGGUUGUGCAGCUCUGGGUUGCUUUAAGUGUCAAACAGCCACAGGCUUUGAAGCUCAUGCUUGUGAUGCCUGGAACAGUAAAAUACUCUUAAUAAUCUGUUAGACCUCUUGUCUAGUUACUUUCAGUCAAUCAUUAUGUGCCAGAAACAAUAGCA
rnacentral:lncRNA from 10 species